UCAAGGAGCUCGAAUUUUCCCUGCCACCCUCGCUGCAGUGGUGGCCACCGCUCAAGAUGGGGUGCCUCAGCGUAACUCGGUGGCGGCGUCUCCAUGCAGCCAAGGAGUCCAUGGGUGAUAUAUAGCUGUGUGUGCAAUUUCUUUCUAGGCAUGAUGAAUCUUACAUGGUAUUAGGUGUGCAGAUGUUAUAGCAUUCAAGCCUCUCAACAUUCACUCCUGGAGCACAUCUUAUGUGGAGAAAAUUCCAGGUGCUUAAAAGGUCCAGAUCUAAAAGGCGUAUGUUUCACUUCAUGAAUGCACAUUGUUGUGUGAAUAUAUAUGUUCAAAUCCCGAGACAAAUUCAUUGUGGCCAUCAUGAGCGUGAAUAUAAAGAAAAUUCCCAGGUCGCAUCAUAUUAAUUAGAACCAUUUGUUGGUGCUCCUAAGUACAAUUACUGCUCUAUAGUAUUUUCCAUAAUUCAGUCAGGAGCUUGUGUGCCAAACUCUUAGCAAAUGGUGACUGUACUUUUUAGUUUUCAUGAACGAUGUAUCCCCAUUUCUUUUGGGAAGGGGCCUGCAUAUAUGGACUAUAUCUGUUUACUGAGAUGUACUUUGAUGUUUUA